AGAACGAACGCUGGCGGCAGGCUUAACACAUGCAAGUCGAGCGCCCCGCAAGGGGAGCGGCAGACGGGUGAGUAACGCGUGGGAACAUACCCUCCGGUUCGGAAUAGCUCAGGGAAACUUGGAUUAAUACCGGAUACGGCCUAGCGGCGAAAGAUUCAUCGCCGGAGGAUUGGCCCGCGUUCGAUUAGCUAGUUGGUGAGGUAACGGCUCACCAAGGCGACGAUCGAUAGCUGGUCUGAGAGGAUGAUCAGCCACAUUGGGACUGAGACACGGCCCAAACUCCUACGGGAGGCAGCAGUGGGGAAUAUUGCACAAUGGGCGAAAGCCUGAUGCAGCGACGCCGCGUGAGGGAUGACUGCCUUCGGGUUGUAAACCUCUUUCAGCAGGGACGAAGCGAAAGUGACGGUACCUGCAGAAGAAGCACCGGCCAACUACGUGCCAGCAGCCGC
rnacentral:rRNA from 1 species